rnacentral:rRNA from 1 species
UCGGGAAUUUUGGGCAAUGGGCGAAAGCCUGACCCAGCAACGCCGCGUGAGGGAUGAAGUAUUUCGGUAUGUAAACCUCGAAAGAAUGGGAAGAAUAAAUGACGGUACCAUUUAUAAGCUCCGGCUAACUACGUGCCAGCAGCCGCGGUAAUACGUAGGGAGCAAGCGUUGUUCGGAUUUACUGGGCGUAAAGGGCGCGUAGGCGGCGCGGUAAGUCACUUGUGAAAUCUCUGAGCUUAACUCAGAACGGCCAAGUGAUACUGCUGUGCUAGAGUGCGGAAGAGNCAACCGGAAUUCUUGGUGUAGCGGUGAAAUGCGUAGAUAUCAGAUAGAACACCAAUGGCGAAGGCAGUCACUUGGUCCAUUACUGACGCUAAAGCACGAAAGCGUGGGUAGCAAACA